ACCGAGAGGGUCAUCGUUGAGAUUCUCUUGGUUUUGAAGAUCAUUCUUACUCUUUGAUGCUUUUACUACACAGAAGCUCAUAGGAAAUAUGGUGGAAUUGGAACUCUUCUUGUGAUCAAGGUCUCUCCUGAAUCAGCAAGCCAAUUUGGAGAACUGGUGGCAGAUCCAGUUACUAAUGAGCUGCUUCAUUACACCGAGAAACCCGAAACUUUUGUCAGUGACCGUAUUAACUGCUGUGUUUAUGUAUUUACACCUGACAUUUUUACUGCCAUAAGACUAAGAGAUGUUUCCUCUCAAAGGAAAGACACAGCAAUUCUGAGACGUGUUUCCAGCUUUGAAGCUCUUCAACAGGCAACAAGGUUUGUCUGUCUGUCUCUUGUCUGCGUGUCUCUUCAUACAUAACUGAAUAGCCUUUUUAACUGAAUAGCCUUCUUAUAUGAUAUGUUUUCACCCUUUA